UUAUUCCUGAAAUGCUCGGAUUUAACCCAUAAUUUUGAACCUACAUCCGACAUAAGGGAGUUCGGAGUUUAAAAGUGGAUACCAGGCCUCAAGAUAAUUCCGACAUUCGUCCAUUGGACUGAAUGCAACGGCGGAGGAAGGUUGAAGCUUUUAGCAGGGCACCCACCUAGCAGAGGCUAGGUGUCAAAAUAUGGGGGAACGACAUUUCGGGGUAAAA
rnacentral:other from 1 species